rnacentral:lncRNA from 1 species
AAGUGGUAUGUCUCUUUAUUUAUCUAGGUUUUCUUUAAUUCCUUUCAAUAAUACUUAUAGUUUUCUGUGAAAAGGUCUUACACAUCUUUUAUUAGAUUUAUUCUUAGAUUGUUGAUGUUUUGGAUGUUGUUAUAAAUGGUUUUAUCUUUUUGAAAAAAUAUUUCUUAAUUACUUAUUGAUAUUAGAAAUAGUUGUUUUUAAUAUACGGACAAGAGUAAUUUUUUAAUUUUAAGAAUUAUCCAAUAUGCAAAUCAUUGUGGGAAUAUUGGAUAAAUUGAGAAAAGUAAAGUUGGAUUAAAUCCAGGGUUGUAACAUUAGCACUUUCAAAAGGCAACCAGCAAGGACUGUUCCUAAAUAGUGUGAAUUUGGUUGCUUAAGAGAGAUUGCGUAGGUAGGGCUUGUUUCUCUCUUGGCUAACAUGAUUGGAACGUCGACAUUCUAGGCCCUCUUCCAGGCAGUCCACAUUUGGAAACACUCAGGCAAAUGUGGAGCAAGAAGGAAUCAGUGAAUUGGAAUUUCACUCUGUCCUGCCACCCUGGCUGCUUUUGGACUGACAGGCUUUGUUCCUCUCCUGAAGGUCCCCAAGGAUGAAGCUGUAAACCCACCAUUGUCAGGCACCGCGUAUUUGUGGUUUUUUUUGUUUUGUUUUGUUUUGUUUUUAAAGAUUUAUUUUAUUUAUUUCUCUCCCCUUCCCUCCUCCCCUCCUCCCGGUUUUCUGCUCUGUGUCUAUUUGCUGUGUGUUCUUUUUGUCUGCUUCUGUUGUUGUCAGCGGCACGGGAAUCUGUGUUUCUUUUUGUUGCGUCAUCUUGCUGUGUCAGCUCUCUGUGUGUGGCACCAUUCCUGGGCAGGCUGCACUUUCUUUCACGCUGGCAACUCUCCUUACGGGGCACACUCCUUGCACGUGGGGCUUCCCUACGUGGGGGACACCCCUGCGUGGCAGGGCACUCCUUGCGCACAUCAGCACUGCGCAUGGGCCAGCUCCACAAGGAUCAAGGAGGCCCGGGAUUUGAACUGCGGACCUCCCAUGUGGUAAACGGAUGCCCUAACCACUGGGCCAAGUCCGCUUCCCGGCACCGCGCAUUUGAAGUGAUGAUGACAGUACCCAUUUCCUUAAACUCAUCUCUGCUUUGUUUUUCCAGGUCUAUAAAGGAGAGUUUCAAUUACCUGACUUUCUUAAAGAAAAACCCCAGACUGAACGAGUGGAGUAGCAGAGCUGGGAACCUUUUUCAUAUGUGAGGUGAGGUUUGGGGGGGCAUCACUUGGGUUCUUGUAGGAGGCGGUGUAGGCAGGACUGGAGAGCACAGCUUUGGACACCAUCUGCCUAGGCUGAAGUACUGUUUCUGUUACUGACCAGCUGUGUGGCAUUCAGCAAAUUACUUAGCCUCUCUGUGUCUUAGUUUCCUCAUUUGUAAAAUGGGGAUGAUAUCAAUAAGAGAGUGGUAGUAAGAGUUUACCCUAAUAACUGCAAAGUCUGCAAAGAACCUGGCACAUAGUAAGCAUUCCAGAUGUGCUAGUUAUUUUUAUUUCUUUUGUGAGGAAGGGUUUAAAAUUAUAAAAUAUUUUAGCUGAAAGGCACUUAGAGAUCAUAAGCCCAACCACCUGUUUGCUGAUAAGAAAACUGAUCCUAGAGGGAGCAAGUUAUUUGUUAAGGUCACAUCACAGAGGCAGGAGAAACCCAGGGCUAAAGAACACCUAACCCUGAAUUCCAGGUAGGACAUUAGAAAAGUGCUGGUUUUUGAAAUGUUUUUACAUUAAUACUUUUUAUUGUUGGUUGGUUUUUCAAAUCUAUCCUUGCUGACUUAAUAUAUUAUGAUGUCUUAUCUUUGUAAGCCAUGUGGUCUCAUGGUAGCCAAGGACUGCAGUGUGGGCUAGGCCAGCCACACCUUAUAAACUCCUUUUUUAUCUGAGAGAUCAUCAGGGUCAUGUCGGGGACACCUGCUAAUUAGUGGCAAAACUGGUUUUUGAACCUAGACUGCCUUACAUACACUCAGAGCUUGUUCCCUUCUCCUCCACUUCCUUAAGAUUGUCAUGCUCCAAAAGAUGUGGCAAUGCCUUAGAUCAUUUGGAUAUUGGAAAGAUUUCUAAAAAUUUUAAUAUCAAUUUAUCUGCUCAUAGGUUUUCUUGCUUAUUUUUGUUUUUUUAAUGUUUUACCUAAUAACCAUGUACUAAGUGUAGCCACACCUGACAUAAAACAAAAUGCCAAUCAUAAUAUAUAGUGUAUAUACAAUUAGUAUGUGUAUAUCAUACACACACACACACACACAAACUUCCAUUCAGUUCUCAAACCAUUCUGUCCAACACCUACUCUCCAGUUCAUUGGACUUACCCAGGUCAGCUAAAAGGGAGGUGAGAAUGGUCAACCACCACAUCAGGGAACCUAAAGAGUCUACAGCUGCGAGCAGGAGAAUUCCAUCCAUUAGCCAUGUGGGAUCUAAGCCCCCUCUUGAUUUGGAGGUGGAGUGGACAUUGCCACCCCAGGAUCCUCAGGAUGGAGGAAUGGAAUAUGGAUUGGAGUGAACUUACUGGUAUUCUACUAUAGAAUUAUUGUGACUCUAGCAAUGGAAGAAAUUGUAUCAUUGAUGUGGAGACAGUAGCCACAGGAGUUACUGAAGGCAGGGAGAGGGAAAAAGAUUGAUAUUGGGGCAUUUUCAGGACUUGGAGUUGUCCUCAAUGAUAUUGCAGGGACAGAUGCAGGACAUUAUAUAUCCUGCCAUAACCCACUGAAUGGACUAGGAGAGAGUGUAAACUACAACAUAAAUUAUAAUCCAUGCUGUGUAGCAAUGCUCCAAAAUGUACUCAUCAAAUGCAAUGAAUUACCACACUAAUGAGAGAAGUUGUCGAUGUGGAAGGAGUGGGGGUUGUGGAGAGUGGGGUAUAUGGGAACCUCUUAUAAUUUUUAAUUUAACAUUUUGUGUGAUCUAUGUAUCUUUUUAAAAAAAUGAUUUUAAAAAAGCAUUCUGUCAAAUGGGUGGUAUUAUCCCUGUUGUACUGAUGAGGACACUAAUUUGAAUAAGAGGCUUUAUGACUUGCUGUGUUUUCAUGGACUAUAGACAUUAGAAAUGCUGAAACAUUGCUAUGCCAUUUCAUCACCAUGGGUAGCAGUAAGUUAUAUUAGUGGGUUUCAGGAUGUACAGAUGUCUUUGUGCUAAGCAGUAAAUGCUCAAUGUUAGACUUAUACUAUAUGGAUCAGCAUGUAUAAGUACAGUUAUCAGGCCUUGGGAUAGUUUUGUUUCUCCAAAAUAGAUAGUAGAUAAACUGCUCCCCCCCCCCCCCCCCCCGCCCCAAGCUUACACACAAGGAUGUUUUAUAAGAAGAGAGUACAUUGUCAGUUAACCAAGCCUUGGAGUUGGCUCCUCAACAGCAUUUCAUCCUUGUUUGUUUAUUGAGGUCUGUAGGUUCUCACAUGCAAUGAGAGAAGAACUAGAAGGAGCUGGAAGGAGAGCAAAGCAUCCACACUUGGCUCAAAGAAUCAUACUGUCCACUUUUUCAGCAUGCUUCUGGGCCCCUGACAUUUAAUGCACACACAUGCACACACACACACGUGUUCCUAGUCUCUCUAAAGUAGCUUCUAUUACAGAUGACAGUUGCAGUUAUUUGGAAAAGGGCAGUAGCAGCCCUUGCUUUGGCUGCCAACUUCUUACUUUGCACAUAGAAGCUCCUUGCAGGCAUCUGAAAGCAUCCUAGACUGAGGGAAGGUGUGCCUGUGGGGUAGUUCUUCUGAGGCAGCUGUUGUCAUUGUUGUCGAUCCUCCUGUCCCCUGAAGUGCCUGCUUGUGUCUGGGGCCCAUAACCAUGAAAGAGACGGUGAUGGUACAGGGGAGAACUGACUGCAGCUUCCCACCUGUAACCACAUUCUGCUUGUUUGCCCUAGGAAUGACUGCUGCCUUUUUAAUGGACAAGACAUUUCUAGGACUGGCUCUCUCCUGCUGAGAUGCAUGGAGUGUGUGUACCAUGGCCUGUAUUUCCUCCGAACUUGCCAUCCCCUCCAGCUGCAAGGGUGGGGGGCUGGUGCACAUUCAGGCCUUCCUGGGUGAUCUGCUUCCUGAGUCAAGCUCUCUGAUCUUAAGUACAUGUACAGCCCUGUGGAUAAGGAGCCCAGAGGGGAACAUGUGCUUUCUAUUAAAACUGCUCUUGGCCUCACCUUUUCUUAUCAGAUUCCAAACUUUGUUUUCAAGGAAGAGUUUUAAAAUGAGAUUCUGUAAGCAAAAUUGGGCAGUUUCAUUUUAGAAUAGGUUGUUCAUGUUCUAAUAUUUUGUAGGACACUUGUGCCUGUUUAAAUGUAUUGAUGUGGAUAAUGUUAAAUAUCUUGAUUAUUUAAAUAAUUCAUUGUGUUGUUUCUGAAAAAUUGGGAAAUUACCCCAUACAUUUACAAUUUAAUGACUUUUGUAUUUUAUUUUUCAAAAUAAAAGCUUUAAAUGUGAAGCGUUUUAGUGGUUCACU